GCAGGCUGAAAUUCGCCUGUAUGAAGCCGGAAUUGCUAGUAAUGGCAGGUCAGCAUACUGCCGUGAAUAUGUUCCCGGGCCUUGUACACACCGCCCGUCACACCAUGAGAGUUGGGGAUACCCAAAGCCCGUGAGCCAACUUAUAAAGAGGCAGCGGUCUAAGGUAGAAUCAAUGAUUGGGGUGAAGUCGUAACAAGGUAAC
rnacentral:rRNA from 1 species